rnacentral:rRNA from 1 species
UACGUAGGGUGCAAGCGUUAAUCGGAAUUACUGGGCGUAAAGCGUGCGCAGGCGGUUAUGUAAGACAGGUGUGAAAUCCCCGGGCUUAACCUGGGAACUGCAUUUGUGACUGCAUAGCGUAGAGUACGGUAGAGGGGGAUGGAAAUUCCGCGUGUAGCAGUGAAAUGCGUAGAUAUGCGGAGGAACACCGAUGGCGAAGGCAAUCCCCUGGACCUGUACUGACGCUCAUGCACGAAAGGCGUGG